CAGUCGCCACGGUAAUACGAAGGUCCCAAGCGUUGUUCGGAAUCACUGGGCGUAAAGGGAGCGUAGGCGGCGUGGUAAGUCAGAUGUGAAAUCCCGGGGCUCAACCCCGGAACUGCAUCCGAUACUGCCAUGCUUGAGGGUCGGAGAGGUAGCUGGAAUUCUUGGUGUAGCAGUGAAAUGCGUGGAUAUCAAGAGGAACACUCGUGGCGAAGGCGAGCUACUGGACAACAUCUGACGCUGAGGCUCGAAGGCCAGGGUAGCGAAAGGGAUUAGAUACCCCCGUAGUCCCUGUCUCUUAUAA
rnacentral:rRNA from 1 species